rnacentral:rRNA from 1 species
UGAUGUGAAAGCCGGGCUCAACGCGGGACUGCAUCGGAUACUGUGGAUCUGGAGUGCCGGAGGGGCAAGCGGAUUCCUGGUGUAGCGGUGAAAUGCGUAGAUAUCAGGAGGAACACCGGCGGCGAAGGCGGCUGCUGGACGGCAACUGACGUUGAGGCUCGAAAGCGUGGGGAGCAAACAGGAUUAGAUACCUGGUAGUCCACGCUGUAAACGAUGAAUACUAGGUGUGGGCAUGCAAGGCAUGUCCGUGCCCAGCUAACGCAUUAAGUAUUCCACCUGGGGAGUACGUUCGCAAGAAUGAAACUCAAAGGAUUGACGGGGACCCGCACAAGCGGUGGAGCAUGUGGUUUAAUUCGAAGCAACGCGAAGAACUUACCAGGCCUUGACAUCCCGACGAAAUCCCCUUAACCGGGGCCCCUCUUCGGAGCGUCGAGACAGGUGGUGCAUGGUUGUCGUCAGCUCGUGUCGUGAGAUGUUGGGUUAAGUCCCGCACGAGCGCAACCCCUGCCUGUAGUAGCCAGCAUGUUAAGAUGGGGACUCUACAGGGACUGCGGGGUCAACCCGGAGGAAGGUGGGGAUGACGUCAAAUCAUCAUGCCCCUUACGGCCUGGGGACACACGUGCUACAAUGGCACAACAAAGAGACGCGAUCCCGCGAGGGGGAGCAAACCUCAAAAUAGUGUCCCAGUUCGGACUGCAGUCUGCAACCCGACUGCACGAAGCCGGAAUCGCUGUAAUCGCGGAUCAGAAUGCCGCGGUGAAUACGUUCCCGGGUCUUGCACACACCGCCCGU